rnacentral:misc_RNA from 1 species
CAGGAGGUCAAACACCUUCUUCUGCAUAAUUAAAUUAAACGUUCAGAUCAUGAAGCAACAGAUCAGUUCAAAACUAUGAGAAACUAAGAGUUCAUAAGAUCGCAUUACCUGGAAGCCAGUAAGACCAUCAAUACCAGCAGCUGCAUCCUCAACCUUCUGUUUCUCUUUCUCAAUGCCAAACUUUGGCUUCCACUUUGUCUGCCUGAGUGCCUCUGCAACCUUUUCAUUGUCUGC